UACGGAGGGGGCUAGCGUUGUUCGGAAUUACUGGGCGUAAAGCGCACGUAGGCGGCUUUGCAAGUCAGAGGUGAAAGCCCGGGGCUCAACCCCGGAAUUGCCUUUGAGACUGCAUCGCUAGAAUUGUGGAGAGGUAAGUGGAAUUCCGAGUGUAGAGGUGAAAUUCGUAGAUAUUCGGAAGAACACCAGUGGCGAAGGCGACUUACUGGACACAUAUUGACGCUGAGGUGCGAAAGCGUGGGGAGCAACAGGAU
rnacentral:rRNA from 1 species